CAGAUGGUGUGUGGGAGGGACACCCAGAAGCUCCCCAUGGGCCGCAGGCGUUCUUUCAGUUCCGUAACCUGUAUGGAGGCAGCUCAGGGGAAAAACAGCCAAGCUGUGUACCAAAGAACUCGCUGUUCCCUGAAGCGCUGCCACACAUUGAAUCGAGACGUGGGUGCCUCUCAGGUGGAUUCGCUCCCAGAAGCCUCGCCGCCGCGCUUCAGUUACAUGGUGCGACCUCACCGGGAGUGCUGUAUUGUUGUCUCACAAAGGACCCGAAAUGAUAAUAAGGGAGAUUUGUGUUUUUGUCACUCUUUUUGAUGGUAAACGAUUCUUUCAUAACAAAAGUCAAAUGGCAUAGCUCUGCGACGUGGUAAAGAGGACAAAUCCAGAAUAGAUUUUAAAUGGGCCUGCUACAAAUGCUUUGACAGCAAGAAAUUGUGUAAGACAUGCUACCUGAUGUGUUUCGCAUAUAUCCUAAAAGGUUUUUUUUUAAUUGUGAUUGGAAAUUUAACCUGCGGCAAUCAGACGGACAAGACAUUUUAGCUAUUGUUUUUGAACCCUCAUCCUCAGCAGGUCAGUGCUGUAUAUCUCACACCCCACCCCCCA